rnacentral:rRNA from 1 species
UACGUAGGUGGCAAGCGUUGUCCGGAAUUAUUGGGCGUAAAGCGCGCGCAGGCGGUCCUGUAAGUCUGACGUGAAAUCCCCGGGCUUAACCUGGGAAUUGCGUUGGAGACUGCAAGGCUGGAGUCUGGCAGAGGGGGGUAGAAUUCCACGUGUAGCAGUGAAAUGCGUAGAGAUGUGGAGGAACACCGAUGGCGAAGGCAGCCCCCUGGGUCAAGACUGACGCUCAUGCACGAAAGCGUGGGGAGCAAACAGG